rnacentral:rRNA from 1 species
UACAGGGGGGGCAAGCGUUGUUCGGAUUUACUGGGCGUAAAGGGCGCGUAGGCGGCAAUUCAAGUCAGCUGUGAAAUCUCUGGGCUUAACCCAGAACGGCCAGCUGAUACUGCUUUGCUAGAGUGCAGAAGGGGCAAUCGGAAUUCUUGGUGUAGCGGUGAAAUGCGUAGAUAUCAAGAGGAACACCUGAGGUGAAGACGGGUUGCUGGGCUGACACUGACGCUGAGGCGCGAAAGCCAGGGGAGCAAACGGG